rnacentral:tRNA from 1 species
CGGAAUGUGGCGCAGUUUGGUAGCGCAUCACACUGGGGGUGUGGGGGUCGCAGGUUCAAAUCCUGUCAUUCCGA